rnacentral:lncRNA from 1 species
UUGGACACUUGAGGAAUAGGCUUUCUGCCAGGGUAAAGGAGUACACUGUGAAAGGCACACUGUAACAUCCACAACCAAAUCCUCUGAAGUCCUGUCAGGGCAGGCCGAGCGUUCAUACACACUGUCAAGAGAGAGACCUCAAGCACAAAUUACAGAGAAAGAAAACAAUCUGGCUUAAAUCUGCUCCAUCUGUCUCUCUUUUUAGGCUCCAGACUAUAAAGCGGAAGGCAAGGUACUUCUAUGGAAGGGUGUGCUCUCACAGAUGGAGCAAUGAUUUUUCUCUUCAAACUUUUUAAACAUGUCUUGGCUUAGUUCUUCUGCUUGAUUUUCCAAAAGAACAAGCUUCUUUGGAUAAGGUGAAGGAUAGUUAAGGGAGGUUUUAGUAAGUGCCAUUCCUAUGAGCCUCUGUACCAACCCAUGGAUGCAUGAUGUGA